UACGUAGGGUGCUAGCGUUGUCCGGAAUUAUUGGGCGUAAAGAGCUCGUAGGCGGUCUGUCGCGUCGGCUGUGAAAUCCCGGAGCUCAACUCCGGGUCUGCAGUCGAUACGGGCAAACUGGAGUACUGCAGGGGAGACUGGAAUUCCUGGUGUAGCGGUGAAAUGCGCAGAUAUCAGGAGGAACACCGGCGGCGAAGGCGGCCCUCUGGAUCGUUGCUGACGCUGAUACGCGAAAGCGUGGGGAGCAAACAGG
rnacentral:rRNA from 1 species